AAAAUCUUAAGUUAAGUUAGACUAUAAUAUUUCAAAUAUUAAAGUAAAUAUAGUUUUUAGAUUUUG
rnacentral:tRNA from 1 species